CGGCUCAGGUGUUAGUUGUAGGCGGGGCCUCAGACGACAGCUUGGUCCACUAAUCGCAAAAGCAAUUAAUUUUAUUUUCUUAAACAAACAAACAAUUUGGUAAAUAUAUAACAUAUAAAUAUGAAUUGGUUUUAAAAAUUGAGGAUGUUUUAUUCUUAAUAACGUCACUGGCACGCGGGAAGUAUCCUGUUUGAGGCCUACUCGAUUAUUUAGUUUAUUACUUAGUAGCAUUUAGGCACAAAGACACAAUUUUUUAUGAUAGUCGGAUAAAUGUUGAAGUAAGAAGAUGAAAAUACCAAAAAAUGACGCUUUCUUCAGUUUCACUGUGGAAAGACCGCGGAGUGGACUCCAUUGCUUCAGUAAGAUGGAUGGCGAGUGUGUAAAGGAGCUGACAUCACAACACUUACUGGGAGGCAGCGCAAGCAGCCCCCCGGUGACCUGCGAUUCAAGCCCCAGAUUAUGGUUGUUCAUUGUUUGUUUCUGCUCCUUGUUCGGGCUCGGCGACAGACCACUAUCCUAACAGCAUACACAAAUUAAACCUCGUAUCAGAUAGUAACUAAAUCUGAGAGUGAGACUUGAGUAGAAGUCUAGUAAAAUAAAGAUUGAUUUGUUCUUUACCCA
ensembl:lncRNA